UACAGAGGUCCCGAGCGUUGUUCGGAUUCAUUGGGCGUAAAGGGUGCGUAGGCGGCGCGGUAAGUCGGGUGUGAAAUUUCGAGGCUUAACUUCGAAACUGCAUUCGAUACUGCCGUGCUUGAGGACUGGAGAGGAGACUGGAAUUUACGGUGUAGCGGUGAAAUGCGUAGAUAUCGUAAGGAAGACCAGUGGCGAAGGCGGGUCUCUGGGCCGAUACUGACGCUGAGGAGCGAAAGCGUGGGGAGCGAACAGG
rnacentral:rRNA from 1 species